CCUCUCAGAGAGAAAGACCCCCAUCCUCCUGGAAGUGCUGAAACUUCAACCAGAGAAGAAACAAGUGAAUCUCACAGGCUGCUCACAUGAAGAGAGUGAAGUGAGGAGUUUCCUUCAGUGUCUGCCUUAUAUCUCACAGCUCAGUAUUGUGACUACAUUAUCAGAAGCUCAUGAAGAAACCAGGUUCUUUGGGGAACUGUUCAGUGCAGCAGCAGAGAGAGAACAGCAGACAGGAGAGAAGAUACUGGAGCUGUUAUCAUCAGUGUGCAGAUACAAAACUUUCCCUAUGAAGGAGAUAUGGUGUGAUUUCAUAAUGGACCUGUGCUAUUACAAGACUCAAGCUGGCUUGAGUGUCCUUCCAUCAUUACAGUCAGUUUUCCAGUCAACUCCUGCAGUCUGGUUCAUAAACCUCUCAGAGAGAAAGACCUCCAUCCUCCUGGAAGUGCUGAAACUCCAACCAGAGAGGAAACAAGUGAAUCUCACAGGCUGCUCACAUGAAGAGAGUGAAGUGAGGAGUUUCCUGCAGUGUCUGCCUUAUAUCUCACAGCUCAGCGUUGUUACUCAAUUAGCAGGUCUUUCAGAAGAAAUCAGGUUCUUUGGGAAUCUGAUCUGUGCCGCAGCAGAGAGAGAACAGCAGACAGGAGAGAAGAUACUGGUGCUGUUAUUAUCAGUGUGCACAUACAAAGGAUUCACUCUUACAGAAAUAUGGUGUGAUUUCCUGCUGGACCUUUACACCAGUGAUUUUCAA